AGAGUUUGAUCCUGGCUCAGGACGAACGCUGGCGGCGUGCCUAACACAUGCAAGUCGAACGGACUGAUUCCCUUCGGGGAUGAAAGUUAGUGGCGGACGGGUGAGUAACGCGUGAGUAACCUGCCUUUCAGAGGGGGAUAACGUUUGGAAACGAACGCUAAUACCGCAUAACAUAUCGGUACCGCAUGAUACUGAUAUCAAAGGAGCAAUCCGCUGAAAGAUGGACUCGCGUCUGAUUAGAUAGUUGGCGGGGUAACGGCCCACCAAGUCGACGACCAGUAGCCGGACUGAGAGGUUGAACGGCCACAUUGGGACUGAGACACGGCCCAGACUCCUACGGGAGGCAGCAGUGAGGGAUAUUGCACAAUGGGCGCAAGCCUGAUGCAGCAACGCCGCGUGAAGGAUGACGGUUUUCGGAUUGUAAACUUCUGCUCUCAGUGAUGAUAAUGACAUUAGCUGAGGAGAAAGCCACGGCUAACUACGUGCCAGCAGCCGCGGUAAUACGUAGGUGGCAAGCGUUGUCCGGAUUUACUGGGUGUAAAGGGAGCGCAGGCGGGAGAGCAAGUCAGUGGUGAAAUGCAUGGGCUUAACCCAUGAACUGCCGUUGAAACUGUUUUUCUUGAGUGGAGUAGAGGCAAGCGGAAUUCCGAGUGUAGCGGUGAAAUGCGUAGAUAUUCGGAGGAACACCAGUGGCGAAGGCGGCUUGCUGGGCUCUAACUGACGCUGAGGCUCGAAAGUGUGGGGAGCAAACAGGAUUAGAUACCCUGGUAGUCCACACUGUAAACGAUGAUUACUAGGUGUGGGGGGUCUGACCCCUUCCGUGCCGCGGUUAACGCAAUAAGUAGUCCACCUGGGGAGUACGACCGCAAGGUUGAAACUCAAAGGAAUUGACGGGGGCCCGCACAAGCAGUGGAUUAUGUGGUUUAAUUCGAAGCAACGCGAAGAACCUUACCAGGUCUUGACAUCGAGUGACCGGCUAAGAGAUUAGCCUUUCCUUCGGGACACAAAGACAGGUGGUGCAUGGUUGUCGUCAGCUCGUGUCGUGAGAUGUUGGGUUAAGUCCCGCAACGAGCGCAACCCUUGCCGUUAGUUGCCAUCAUUAAGUUGGGCACUCUAAUGGGACUGCCGGAGACAAUCCGGAGGAAGGCGGGGAUGACGUCAAAUCAUCAUGCCCCUUAUGUCCUGGGCGACACACGUGCUACAAUGGCCGUCACAGAGGGAGGCGACGGAGCGAUCCUGAGCGAACCCCCAAAGGCGGUCCCAGUUCGGACUGCAGGCUGAAGCCCGCCUGCACGAAGCCGGAGUUGCUAGUAAUCGCGAAUCAGCAUGUCGCGGUGAAUGCGUUCCCGGGUCUUGUACACACCGCCCGUCACACCAUGGAAGUUGGGGGCGCCCAAAGUUGGCUAAUCAAUCUGCUACCUAAGGCGAAACCAAUGACUGGGGUGAAGUCGUAACAAGGUAGCCGUA
rnacentral:rRNA from 1 species